GCUCACUUUGCUCUCUUUUUCUCUCAAUGAAAGAGCUAGGAAGCUCUCUUAGGUACAAUUUGUCAAGCCCAUGGGUCCACAAAUUAAAAGAGAGAUAAGGCUUCAUCAUCUUUUCUUCUUUCUACUCUUUUAGAAGCAACUAGAAUAGUUAAGAGCUCUCUCCCUCUUUCAUUCCUACGGGUCCAACACCAAAAGAAGGAAAAGCUCUCAAUUAUUUUCUCCCUUUCACAGCUACAUGUCCAGUAGCAAGAAGGAAGCUUUUUUCAACUCUCUCAAGCUCUCUACCUCUCAUACUUUCUGGUCCAGCCACUAGGAAAGGGAAAUCAUUUCAUUUAGCAGGUUUUAUUUUGGAGCAGAGGGAGCCUUAAUCGAGUUUGGAAGGAGCUGGUUUUAGUUUUAUAUGUAUAGAUCCUAAAUUGGCAAUAUGAUAUUUAGAUUUGUAGCAUUGUGUAUUUUAAGAUCUAAUGAAAGUGUAUACCUUAAAGUAUUAAAAAAUGUAUUAUGUGAAAUUCUGAAGUUGAGUAACUGGUGGAUUAUGUCAAUCUUUGAGUACAAUGUAGAUGCUCUGAAUAUCAAGUGAAAAGUUAUAUCAUUUAAGUAAGGAAACAA